GGUAUUGAAAUAAGAUUUUAAAUGAGUGCUAAGAGAAUGAUUAGACAAUUAAAAACUUUCUUUAAUUAAAUAAUUAAAUUUAAUUUUUUUGUGCAAAAGCAAAAAUAAAAUUUAGGGACAAGAAGACCCUAUGAAUUUUUAUUAUUAAUAUUUUGCAAUUAAAUUAUUAAUAAUUUAAUUGGGGCGAUAAAAAAAGAAUAAAUAUCUUUUUAAUUAUUAAAUAAGUUCCGUUUUUAGCGAUUAAAUGAAAAAAAUACUCUAGGGAUAACAGCGUAAUAAUUUUGGAUAGUUCAUAUAGAUAAAAUAGUUUGCGACCUCGAUGUUGGAUUAGGAUUCUUUUUUGGUGUAGAA
rnacentral:rRNA from 1 species